CUAAAGUUCCACCCCUCACUUAUUCCAUGAAUUUUAAAAAUGCGGGAAUUGAAAAAAAUGCAGGAUGGAUGUGACAUGUCCAUUCGAACCCUGUAGGAUUAGUGAACCACAAGAACUUUGAUAGGAGAGAGUUUGAUGCCACAGAAAAAACAAAGGAAUUGCAAAAGGAGGUUUGAGUGGAUGAAAAUUACACUCCGAAAUGAAGUGCAAAGAGAUCCUUUGGAAUUCUUCCUACGAAUUUCACUCCUAUGAAUCAAACAACCUAGAUAGGAAAAAUUCCUAAGGAUUCGAAUCCUGCAAAAUAUCCUAUGAAAAUCCUUCGAAUCAAAGUAGCACUUCAUUAUUCACAAGAUAUUAUGUAGAGUAUUAACGCGUAUGUACCCAUUUUCCAUUGAUUCUCCUAUUAUAUUGCUGCAGUAUUUUCAGAAACCAUUAUUAUUUUCAUGAAGGCCCCAACCGUGGAUAUGCGUCUUUCAAAAUCAUCAUGUUUAAUGUGUUUCUACUCCAUUUCAAAGGCACUGUUUGUAACUAUUAGUAACUCUACAUAUUAAUAUCGUCAAUAAUUAACAAGAAUGCUUGUAUUUCAAUUUUAACUACAAAAAGAGUGGUAAUUUUCUCGUUGUUAUUAAUCAAAAUAUCAUAAAAUUAGAAUUUAAGAAGAUUUAUACGAGAUGUGUAUAGAUAAAAAAUAAAGUACAAAUUUUAGGAACCCAAUAUAUCCAUGAUAUUUAGCAUUCGGUUUAGGAAAUCGUGAGUAAUGAAAUGUUUAGAAUACUGUAAUGUUUAAAAUUUAGUUGUACACAAAUUUAAAUUCGUUGGUUGAAUAAAAUGUAGUUUCAAAUCCAAAUUAUAAAUCUUUAAUUUCUGCAUUAUUUUAUUAAGUUAUAAACUUUAGUUAUGAAUAUCUUUAUUAUUGCAUGGAUACAUGGAUUCCUCGUGUAUGAUAAUUACAAUUGAAAAUUGCUUUCAAUGGAUUAUGCAUAUUUGAAUUGCAUAGAAAUAUCUUUGAUACUUUUAAUACUAGAUAUCUAAGCAUAUUUUUGAAGACUAGACAUUUCAUGUGAGUUGCACCGACUAAUACAAUUUUCAAGUGCAAAGUGUGUAUGCAUUGCCAACUCGUGGUUGGACGGAUGAUCGUUGAAGACAUAUUUGGUCAUGAAAGAAGCAAUCAACAAGCAUUGGGACAAAAGGAUGUCAAAGUCUUCAUUUAUUUUGUUUAUACUUUAGUUUUUUCUAUCAACAAUAUUUUUAAUUAUCAAAUUUAUUUAGUUACACAUAAAGUAGAUAAAGAGCACUCUAGAAACAACUGAUACUUUUAGAGCUCCCUAUCAUGAUAAAUAUAAAUGAUCACAUACAUUUAUCGCAAAAAAUGAUCACGUACAUAUAUUUGCAGUUCAUCUAAGUGAUGCAAAUUAAUCUAUGAGGUUAUUAUUGUUUUGUUCUUUUUUAUAUCUAGAAAAUUUUGGACAUAACAAGAUUUUUAAGAGGAAACUUAGACAUGUUGUAGAAAACAUAACGAAUAUAGUAUGUGCAUUCUCAUGUUGUUACUUUUCUCAAUAAAAAAUGCAUUGUUUAACCCUAAGUUGAGAGUAUAAAUUUUUGUUAUGUAUAAGUACAAAAGUUUAUUAUAAUUCAUUAAUAGUCGUAUAAUUCGGCUUGUCAUGGCCCAAUCUAACAUGGAGAGAACAAAUGUAAAAAACAAGUCCAUCAAGACCGCCUGUCGGGGAUAUACCCCGCGGUGUAACCCGACUUGAAGUAUGACCCGGCUGGGACUGGGCGACUCACUAGUGACCCGGCCGAGCUUGGGGACUCACUGGUGACCCGGUAGGCGAGUCAGACGAAUGACAAGACUGAAGGCCCAAGGCCCCGCGUGCACCCCAACAUAAGGCGACUCAUAGAGAGGCCAGGAGGACCGGUUCACAAGAGAAGGCCAAGAAGAGGAAAGACUCCCCCUAGUAGGAAACAAGAACCCUAUUAGGAUUCAAGAGAGAUUAGUCCUAGUCCUACUCCUAAUAGAACUCUACAUGUAAAACCUAUCCCUUCCACAUAUAUAAGAAGGGGUAAUACGCCCCAAGAAGGACACGUUAGGUUGAGCAUGAGAAGUUAAAGUCAUUAGAGAUAGACAAAUUAGACACCCUCGAGAUUAGAGGUAGCAAUUCCGCACCCUUGUAAUCAAGUUCAUCAUCUUUAUCAACGAAACACAAGCAUGACGUAGGCUUUUACCUCCAUCAGAGGGGCCGAACCUCGGUAAACUCGCGUCUCUCGAUUCCGAUCAAUCCCUCUCAAGUCGCCACAUAGUUGCGAGGGCUCCACACCUAAGUCCUUGCACGAGGACAUAUGCCAUGAUAAAAUCACGACACCGCCCGACGUGUCGACGAACCCGAUAAGAGUCGCGUAUCUCGUUCUCAGGACACAACGGGUGAGCAGUACGUACAUGGACCGGAUAGAAAUCUAUCAAGUUUCCCCGGGUGGCCCCCACAAGUGGCUCUAGUUUGGAGCAACACUCAUGAGGAGCACUGGGCCCGGGGUUGACUAAUCAUCCUCGGGGUAGCUAUUCCCUAUGUUUUUUAAUUAUUAAGUUACUAGCAAAUGGAGUUCCAAAGUUGGGUCUUGUCAUACAAGUUUUAAACUAAAACAAGUUAUCAAGGGGUCCCCAUAAUAACCCCAAGCGUGUUAGGAGCGAUCAAUAUGGAACAUAACACCGGUAGCCGAAACUAGGGCGUCAAAAGCGGAACAAAACACCAAGAAAAAGGCCAAUCCUUCCACAUUUUACCAAGUAUAUAUGUGCAUUAAAUUAAAUAGCAGUAAUAAGAUGAUAUUC
rnacentral:lncRNA from 1 species